UACGGGGGGGGCAAGCGUUGUUCGGAAUUACUGGGCGUAAAGGGCUCGUAGGCGGAUAUUUAAGUCAGGGGUGAAAUCCCAGAGCUCAACUCUGGAACUGCCUUUGAUACUGGGUAUCUCGAGUAUGGAAGAGGUGAGUGGAAUUCCGAGUGUAGAGGUGAAAUUCGUAGAUAUUCGGAGGAACACCAGUGGCGAAGGCGGCUCACUGGUCCAUUACUGACGCUGAGGUGCGAAAGCGUGGGGAGCAAACAGG
rnacentral:rRNA from 1 species